rnacentral:rRNA from 1 species
AUUGAACGCUGGCGGCAGGCCUAACACAUGCAAGUCGAGCGGAUGAAGGGAGCUUGCUCCUGGAUUCAGCGGCGGACGGGUGAGUAAUGCCUAGGAAUCUGCCUGGUAGUGGGGGAUAACGUCCGGAAACGGGCGCUAAUACCGCAUACGUCCUGAGGGAGAAAUUGGGGGAUCUUCGGACCUCACGCUAUCAUAUGAGCCUAGGUCGGAUUAGCUAGUUGGUGGGGUAAAGGCCUACCAAGGCGACGAUCCGUAACUGGUCUGAGAGGAUGAUCAGUUAGAUGGGAACUGAGAAACGGUCCAGACUCCUACGGGAGGAAGCAGUCGGGAAUAUUGGACGAUGGGCGAAAGCCUGAUACAGCCAAGCCGCGUGUGGGAAGAAGGUCUUCGGAUUGUAAAGCACUGUAAGUUGGGAGGAAGGGAAGUAAGUUUAUACCUUGCUGUUUUGACGUUACCAACAGAAUAAGCACCGGCUAACUUCGUG